rnacentral:lncRNA from 1 species
ACGUCACAAUUGAUGGACUACGAGGUAACCUCAAAACUUAUGAAAGCACUAUUCUUAAUCCUUAUCUUGGAAAUAAAGGUCCAGGUAUUAUGGACUAAGAGGUAACCUCAAAACAUAUGAAAGCACUAUUCUUAAUCCUUAUCUUGGAAAUAAUGGUCCAGGUAUUGCCUUCAAAGCCUCAUCCUCUAAAAGAGAAGAGGUAAGCGAUUCGUAUAGCGAUGAUGAUAAUAUUUCCAAUGCCUUGAUCGAAAAGUUUUAUAAGUUUACGAAAAAGGAAAUAAAGAAGGAAGAACCAAGUCCUUCAUGCCAAAAUUGUGGAAAACUUGGCCACACCAAAUCACAUUGUCCAAAAUCCACGGACAAGAAGAAGAACAAACACCAAAGGCGUGUGACAUGGGAUUCGGACAGCUCGGGCGAUGAAACUGCCGCACUAUGCCUCAUGGCCAACGAGGA